UAAAACGUAGGAGGCGAGCGUUAUCCGGAUUUACUGGGCGUAAAGCGCGUGCAGGCGGUUUGGAAAGUUGGAUGUGAAAGCUCCUGGCUCAACUGGGAGAGGUCGUUCAAAACUACCGAACUAGAGUGCAGUAGAGGGAAGUGGAAUUCCGGGUGUAGUGGUGAAAUGCGUAGAUAUCCGGAGGAACACCAGUGGCGAAAGCGGCUUCCUGGACUGUAACUGACGCUCAGACGCGAAAGCUAGGGUAGCAAACGGG
rnacentral:rRNA from 1 species